CGCGCCUCUGUGACAGCUCCAGGCUGCCUGUUGACAGCUCACUGCAGGGAACUGCCAGUCAGGGAACUUCCAAGCAGCUGUGCAGCUUUCCAUGGCACUGGCUCUCAUACAGCCUGCACUAUGCACAGCUCGUCCACUGCAAGGCAGUCCUGUCACCACCCAGCCCCUGUGCAGGACCCACCAUGAUACAGAACAUGAAGCCUUUCCCGAACAAAAAACCUGAUCCCUCAUUAGAUGGAAAUACCGACAAAACCACGAAGAGAAUGUUUCAGAUGAGCCCACACUUGGCUGGUUACUGGAAGUGCAGAGAUCCAAAAGCCAUGGGAACUUGACCAGUCACAGUCAGAAGUAUGACAAGAAUCGUCGAGAGGAAGUGAUGGUGGGUACUAUGAUGUUUUGUAGCAGGGAAAGGAUAUUGGACAUAUGGAGCGACAGGAAGAACACCCCAGAGUAAGAACCAACAGAUAACAUGGCAGUUCAGACAUUCUUCUUUAAGAUCUAGGAACCCAAGGACUGACUAGGAUUAUGAAGCUAGCCAAACUCACAAGCGAGAGGAAGACGGAAAACAAUAUUGGAGUGCUGUCUUUCUCAGAUUUUUAUUAUACUGAAGUGGUGGUCCUGAACAAGAAACUUUGUUGUCAAGACGCCAGUGAAAUUCAACAGUGCCUAUAUGAUAUUGAGGACUUGUUCUUCCUAUUUCUCCUUCAAAGGAAUCUGAUGUCAGAUGACUGUGUUCAUCAAUAACUACUGAGGCUUCCCAUAAAAUUAAUGUUGGAUGUGGUCUAGAUGAGCAGGUUAAAAGAUCCUUAAUUUCCCAUGAGAAAGUGCUAUUGCCGUACCUCCACAUACCAGCAGGCGUUCAAGUGAUUUCUAUAUACGCCUGCCAUCUAAGCAGUCUUUCCAGCGGCACCAGUCUGAUGAAGGCCGGAUUGUGGCCGAAACGUCACGUAUAUGAUAUGCCACAUUGCAAAUUAAAUGAAUUCUAUUGCACCGCAUAAACUGGAGUUUGUAUUCUUCUUGUAUACUGUAUACGCCAUACGGAAACACGGAACGGAAAAACGGAAUGGAAUCGGAAACACUACUGAAACAAAAAACUGAUCCAUUGAAAACGGCCUGCAAAACACAGAAAAAGCCAUACGGUCAUGUGAACAAGCCCUUACACAGAGGAUGCCAUUCAUCACUGAUAACACCUGCCCCGUGUUCAACUGAAAGAACAGAGAUGAAGGAAGUGGAACAUAUGGUUGUCAUGAGAAUAGUAUGAAGUACUAAUACAGACAUCUCCCAAAGCGUAUCUGUCCUACAGACAUCAUGAAGAGACCUCUAUCAGAAAACAUACCUUCAACAUGAAGGGCACAGUGACAAGUCAUAAGACUCAGGACUAUGAAUGUCCUCAACUCAAUGUAUAAGAACAUUAAUGUAUGACCCUUAAUGAAGGGGACAAGAAAUCAUUGCCAAAAGGACAGGUAUCCUGUGAUUCCAGAUCUCUUCAGACACUGAACAUCAUGCUCCACAUUUGGGAGACACACGUGUCACACAACCAAGGUCACCUUCCCAGGAGUACAGGUGGUACUGCUGUAAGGAGCCCUAACAAAUAAAGGGUCCAGUCAGACACCAACCGUUAAUGCAGUAGGAAAAUGGCCCUAUUCUGUAGGCACUGAUUGACAAACUGCUUGCCGCCAUUCUUCCCUUUAUUUCACAUAAGUGUAUGCACAUUUCCCAAUUUUCCUUUUCUUUUUGGACCGAUUAAACAUAUUGUUUGAUUCAGAGAGGAUGUUUUAAGGGCUUAUUAUAAUAGCAUAACAUUGUGUACUAUAUAGGUAUAAUGUGGAAGUGUAUUGCCAUAUUUAUGAAUUAGGUGAUUUUUAAAGUGUAACUG